UUUUUCUUAUUCUUUUUUUUUUCUUGCAGAGUAAGUCAGCAGCUGCCUGGGAAACAGAAGGAGUUAACAGCUAUAUUUUUAACUUGGAACCCAUGGGAGUAAAUGACAGUGUCUAACGUAUGCAUUAAUACAUGAUGAAGUAUUCUGCCUGACACAAAACACAAAGGACUCCCACAUACUCUGAGCCGAAAAACAGUCAAGACUACUCCUCUUUCAAAUGAACCUACACCUUCUCCAGGGAGCUACAGAAUCGUUGAGACUUAUGUUGUAUCAAGUCCCAGAACAUCACAGAGCAUCCUGGAAGACACCCAGAUCCACUCAAAAGAAUGUGAUGUGACUAUUUACACAAGAAAAACCAAGUGGACGAAGAACAUUUAUUGCCCAGGUGACAGCACACCUUUGAAUGGACAACAUUUAGUUGUCAAUUAGUAUGCAGACCUGGAACAAACCGUACAAAUAGACAAUGAGCUGGGGCCAGAAUUAACAGGGAGAGUAUACUUGGCUAGAUUGCCUUUAGGAAAUUGCGAAGUUCUUUUAGUGAUCCCAUGUUUUUCCUGCAACAAAGGCCCAAAAUUUCAAUUCUAAUAUUCUACCAGUAGUGUUGCAUGGCUACAAAGCAUGUAAUAGCACAGUCUCUGAAGGAUUUAAAAUUAAUAUUGCAUUAUGAGAAGACAUCUUCUACUCCUUUGAAGAAUUGUUGGGGGAGGGGUUCUGCAGAGGUGGAACAUUGCAAAUAGGAUCACAUUUUUUAGGUUAUAACCAUUUCUUCCUCUUCUUCCUCAUUUCUUUUUUAAAUUCUUUGUUAUAAUAAUACUACUAAUAGCUAAUCCAUCCGCAGAGAAAGAACUGAUGAUGUCUGAAUACAAAUUGAAGCAUACUUUUUGUUUAACUUUAUUUUUCUUGAGU